CAGAGUAGGCACAACGCGUCAAGUGCCGGGGAAUGGGAAGUUGUCUCCGGACGAAGGCAAGGCAGGUAAAUGCCGAGCUGCGGUGUUGUGCUGCAUCCGCUGC
rnacentral:ncRNA from 1 species